rnacentral:rRNA from 1 species
CGCGUAGGUGGUUGUGUAAGUCGGAUGUGAAAUCCCCAGGCUCAACUUGGGAACCGCAUCUGAUACUGCAUGACUAGAGUACAGCAGAGGGAAACGGAAUUCCUGGUGUAGAGGUGAAAUUCGUAGAUAUCAGGAGGAACACCGGUGGCGAAGGCGGUUUCCUGGGCUGAUACUGACACUGAGGCGCGAAAGCGUGGGUAGCAAACAGGAUUAGAUACCCUGGUAGUCCACGCUGUAAACGGUGAGUGCUGGGUGUGGGAGGUGUAAUGCCUUCUGUGCCGAAGCUAACGCGUUAAGCACUCCGCCUGGGGAGUACGGCCGCAAGGUUGAA